AAAAUUUGAUUUUCAGCUCCACCACAGAAUUGAUAUCUACUUGUUUUAUAAACACAAAACCGUAUACACUGGAAACAUAUUUAUUAUACUGUUGGUUCUUGUGCCAGAAAUUCAUUAUAGUAUAGACAAAUGUAUUUGCUCUCCAACUCUGAAAUCUAUUUGAGAAUUUUAUUAGAGCACAAUGAGUAAAAUAUUAAUUAUAAUUUUUUUCCGUAAGAUAUUAUAUUUCUUUUUAUGAAAAGGAAUCUGAUUCUAGUCUAUAAACUUGCAAAUAAACGAAUAAUGUAUACUUGCUAUUCAAGUAGUCUUUCAACAGAAUUCACAAAAGAAAGACAUUAUAGGUGUCAAUCAUCAUGGCUUAUAUUUUAUUUUUGUCACCAAGUAAACAAAUAUCAAUCCAAAGAAACCGUGUAAAAUACGAUAAUUUUUUUUUUUUUGUAAACUAAAAAUACGAUAAUUCUUAUGAUAAAAAAUAUGAAAAUUAUACCUGUAAUUUAGUUUUUGUUGAUCGGUAGUGUUAAAUUUUGUUUGAUCGUUUCACAUAUUUUGGAAUCUGCUUCAGUCAAUCAAUAUUUAUUAGGAAUGAGAUACGAUUUCUUCCAGCAUGCAACAAUUACAUAAAAUAAAAUAAAAGUUUGAGGAGUAAGAUAAGAGAUGAGAAAACCAAUGAUUUUCCAUUUUCCCCAUCCUUUACAGAUUUUCAGAUUUAGAAAAGAAGUAUACCUUGAGUUUUUUAAGAAAACCUUGCAUGUGAGCGAAUGAGCCUUGAUAAAUAAAAGCCAUAGUGGAAGUAGAGAAAAGAACGAGAUCCAAAGAUAUUAAGAAAGAGUAAAACAGAAAUAAAUGAUAUGAACUAACAAUUUAUUUUAGAGAAGAAGCUUUGCAUGUCCACAUCGGGUUCGUGGAACAGAGGAGAGAACUGUGUGUUUAUAGCAAUAAGCCAUCAUAGAAUAACUUCACACAAGUAUAUAUGUUAGAAUAGGGGUAGUUACCAGAGAUUGUUGAAUGGUGUGAUCGUGGAGGUGUGGAUAGAAGAACCGCCGGCAAAGGCGAGGUGGCUGAUAAAAUAUUUUUUGUUAUUUUUUUUUACUAAAUAUCUGAAGUAAUAACACGUAAUAUAGAACAAUUUUUUUUUUUUGUUUUUGUUAUUUAUAUUUUUCAAUCUAUGUGACAGAAUAUGAUUGGUUGAGUGACUUGUGAUUUAGUAUAUAAAGG
rnacentral:lncRNA from 1 species